rnacentral:rRNA from 1 species
UAAUGAGGGGAACUCAGGGAACUGAAACAUCUAAGUACCUGAAGGAAGAGAAAGAAAUUCGAUUCCGUAAGUAGCGGCGAGCGAACGCGGAUUAGCCCAAACUAAUAAAGUUUUCUUUAUUGGGGUUGCGGACAUAUCAUAACGAAGAGGUAUCGUAAUUGAAGAGGUUUGGAAAGACCCACCACAGAAGGUAAUAGUCCUGUAUGUUAAACGAGAAGACUUUAGAUAUGAUCCAGAGUACCACGGGACACGUGAAACCCUGUGGGAAGCAGGAGGGACCACCCUCCAAGGCUAAAUACUACCUAGUGACCGAUAGCGUAUAGUACCGUGAGGGAAAGGUGAAAAGAACCCCGGGAGGGGAGUGAAAUAGAACCUGAAACCCUGCACUUACAAGCUGUGGAAGCACAUUUCUUGUGUGACCGCGUACUUUUUGUAGAACGGGCCAACGAGUUACGUUAAGUAGCAAGGUUAAGCACUUAAGGUGCGGAGCCGUAGCGAAAGCGAGUUUUAACUGAGCGUUCAGUUACUUGACGUAGACCCGAAACCGGGCGACCUACCCAUGAGCAGGAUGAAGCGAAAGUAAAAUUUCGUGGAGGUCCGAACCCACGAGCGUUGAAAAGCUCGGGGAUGACUUGUGGGUAGCGGUGAAAUUCCAAUCGAGCCCGGAGAUAGCUGGUUCUCCCCGAAAUAGCUUUAGGGCUAGCCUCAAGGUGAGAGAUACGGAGGUAGAGCACUGAAUGUCCUAGGGGGUAUUGCACCUACCGAAGACUAUCAAACUCCGAAUGCCGUCAUCUUAUACUUGGGAGUCAGACUGUGGGUGAUAAGAUUCAUAGUCGAAAGGGCAACAGCCCAGAUCGUCAGCUAAGGUCCCUAAAUGUAAGUUAAGUGGUAAAGGAUGUGGGAUUGCACAGACAACCAGGAUGUUGGCUUAGAAGCAGCCACUCAUUCAAAGAGUGCCUAAUAGCUCACUGGUCGAGUGAUCCUGCGCCGAAGAUUUCCGGGGCUAAAACUUACUACCGAAGCUACGGCAUCAGUAAUGAUGGGUAGGGGAGCUUCCCAUACGGGUUGAAGCAUGACCGUAAGGACAUGUGGACAGUAUGGGAGUGAGAAUGUUGGCAUGAGUAGCGAGAUGUGGGUGAGAAUCCCACAGGCCGUAAACCCAAGGUUUCCAGGGGAAGGUUCGUCCGCCCUGGGUUAGUCGGGACCUAAGCUGAGGCCGAAAGGCGUAGGUGAUGGACAACAGGUUGAUAUUCCUGUACUACCGAUAACCGUUUGAGAGAAGGGAUGACACAGUAGGAUAAGCUAAGCACACUGUUGGUUAUGUGUGCCCAAGCAUUGAGGCAGUCAAAGUAGGCAAAUCCGCUUUGAUAAUGCUGGGAUGUGAUGGGGAGCGAAAUUUAGUAGCGAAGUAGCUGAUUUCACACUGUCAAGAAAAGUCUCUAUCGAGGUUAAAGGUACCCGUACCGCAAACCGACACAGGUGGGUGAGGAGAGUAUCCUAAGGCCAGCGAGAGAACUGUUGUUAAGGAACUCGGCAAAAUGACCCCGUAACUUAGGGAUAAGGGGUGCCACCAUCAGGUGGCCGCAGAGAAUAGGCCCAAGCGACUGUUUACCAAAAACAUAGGUUUCUGCUAAGUCGCAAGACGAUGUAUAGGAGCUGACGCCUGCCCGGUGCUGGAAGGUUAAGGGGAUCUGUUAGAGCAAUCGAAGCAGUGAACUUAAGCCCCAGUAAACGGCGGCCGUAACUAUAACGGUCCUAAGGUAGCGAAAUUCCUUGUCGGGUAAGUUCCGACCCGAACGAAAGGCGUAACGAUUUGGGCACUGUCUCAACAACAGACUCGGUGAAAUUGUAAUUCCGGUGAAGAUGCCGGAUACCUGCGACAGGACGGAAAGACCCCAUGGAGCUUUACUGUAGCUUGACAUUGGGUCUUGGUACUACAUGUACAGGAUAGGUGGGAGGCUUUGAAACCAGGACGCCAGUUUUGGCGGAGCCAUCCUUGGGAUACCACCCUUGUAGUACUGGGACUCUAACCAUAGGCCAUGAAUCUGGUCUUGGGACACUGUCAGGUGGGCAGUUUGACUGGGGCGGUCGCCUCCCAAAAGGUAACGGAGGCGCUCAAAGGUUCUCUCAGUACGGUCGGAAAUCGUACGUAGAGUGUAAAGGCAAAAGAGAGCUUGAUUGCAAGACAUACAGGUCGAGCAAGGAUGAAAAUCGGACUUAGUGAUCCGGUGGUUCUGCGUGGAAGGGCCAUCGCUCAACGGAUAAAAGCUACCCUGGGGAUAACAGGCUUAUCUCCCCCAAGAGUCCACAUCGACGGGGAGGUUUGGCACCUCGAUGUCGGCUCAUCACAUCCUGGGGCUGUAGUAGGUCCCAAGGGUUGGGCUGUUCGCCCAUUAAAGUGGUACGCGAGCCGGGUUCAGAACGUCGUGAGACAGUUCGGUCCCUAUCCGUCGCAGGCGUAGGAAAUUUGAGAAGACCUGUCCUU